GACGUAGGGCGCGAGCGUUGUCCGGAUUUAUUGGGCGUAAAGAGCUCGUAGGCGGCUUGUCGCGUCGUCCGUGAAAACCUGGGGCUCAACUCCAGGCUUGCGGUCGAUACUGGCGUGCUUGAGGACUGGAGAGGAGACUGGAAUUCAUGGUGUAGCAGUGAAAUGCGUAGAGAUCAUGAGGAAGACCAGUGGCGAAGGCGGGUCUCUGGACAGUUCCUGACACUGAGACACGAAGGCCAGGGGAGCAAACGGG
rnacentral:rRNA from 1 species